rnacentral:rRNA from 1 species
CAAGAGCGUAUAUUAAAAGUUGUUGCAGUUAAAAGCUCGUAGUUGGAUUUCUGGUACAAUGCGCCUGGCCCGCGGCAGUAAUGCCUGUGAGUGCCGGUGCGCGUUGUCCAUCCUUCUAGAAAACGUCUCUACCGUUAACUCGGCCGGAAUUCGCGAUCUAGAUCUUUUACUUUGAAAAAAUUAGAGUGUUCAAAAGCAGGCUUAUGCUGUGAAUACAUUAGCAUGGAAUAAUAAUCUAGGACUUCGGUUCUAUUUUGUUGGUUUCUAGAAUUGAAGUAAUGAUUGAUAGGGAUAGUUGGGGGUGCUAGUAUUGGCCGGCCAGAGGUGAAAAUUCUUGGAUUCGGUCAAGACUAAACUUAAUGCGAAAGCAUUCACCAAGGAUGUCUUCUUAAUCAAAGAAACAGAAAGUUAGGGGGAUGCGAAGAACGAUUAGAUACCG